ACGGGAGGCAGCAGUGGGGAAUAUUGCACAAUGGGCGCAAGCCUGAUGCAGCCAUGCCGCGUGUAUGAAGAAGGCCUUCGGGUUGUAAAGUACUUUCAGUCGUGAGGAAGGUGUUAAGGUUAAUAACCUUAGCAAUUGACGUUAGCGACAGAAGAAGCACCGGCUAACUCCGUGCCAGCAGCCGCGGUAAUACGGAGGGUGCGAGCGUUAAUCGGAAUUACUGGGCGUAAAGGGCACGCAGGCGGUUAAUUAAGUUGGAUGUGAAAUCCCCGGGCUUAACCUGGGAAUGGCAUUCAAGACUGGUUAGCUAGAGUCUUGUAGAGGGGGUAGAAUUCCAUGUGUAGCGGUGAAAUGCGUAGAGAUGUGGAGGAAUACCGGUGGCGAAGGCGGCCCCUGGACAAAGACUGACGCUCAUGUGCGAAAGCGUGGGGAGCAAACAGGAUUAGAUACC
rnacentral:rRNA from 1 species